ensembl:miRNA
UAUUAGGUUGGUGCAAAAGUGAUUGCCUUUACUUUUAAUGGCAAAAACUGCAAUCACUUUUGCAACAACUUAAUAA